UUUGCCACUGGUGGCCGCUACGCCUAGGCGGAGCCAGGAAUUCAGGCUGCAUUCUGAAAUUCUGAAACACCAUAAAUGGGAUUUUAAAAGACUCAAAAUGGAAGUUUGAACAGAAGGGUUGCCCUGGCUGCCUUGGAACUCACUCUGCAGACCAGGCUAGUUUCCAGAUCACAGAGUGCUGCCUCUGCCUCUGGAGUGCUGUGACUUAAAGGCCUGCACUCACCUCUCUCUGCCUCCGGUUACUUUUUUGGUCUAAUAACACCAAAAAAAUUUUCAGAAGCAAUUUGUAGAGUUUGACAUGAAGCUGAUUUUAGAAAUACCAAAAUAUUACACAAGAAGCCUAGAAUGCUUCUCUAGAUUAUAGGAUGUUGGAAGUGAGUUGCUGGAAGAGAAUGGAUAUUAAAAUGUCCUGAGCCAUGCUCAGAGGCAUUUGCCUCUAUUC
rnacentral:lncRNA from 1 species